rnacentral:rRNA from 1 species
UACGGAGGGAGCUAGCGUUGUUCGGAAUUACUGGGCGUAAAGCGCACGUAGGCGGCUUUGUAAGUUAGAGGUGAAAGCCCGGGGCUCAACUCCGGAACUGCCUUUAAGACUGCAUCGCUUGAAUCCAGGAGAGGUGAGUGGAAUUCCGAGUGUAGAGGUGAAAUUCGUAGAUAUUCGGAAGAACACCAGUGGCGAAGGCGGCUCACUGGCCCGGUACUGACGCUGAGGUGCGAAAGCGUGGGGGAGCAAACAGG